rnacentral:rRNA from 1 species
GCCUACACAUGCAAGGUCGUAGCGGUAAAGAGAAGCUUGCUUCUCUUUCCAGCGGCGGACGGGUGAGUAAUGCCUAGGAAUCUGCCUGGUAGUGGGGGAUAACGUCCGGAAACGGACGCUAAUACCGCAUACGUCCUACGGGAGAAAGCAGGGGACCUUCGGGCCUUGCGCUAUCAGAUGAGCCUAGGUCGGAUUAGCUAGUUGGUGAGGUAAUGGCUCACCAAGGCGACGAUCCGUAACUGGUCUGAGAGGAUGAUCAGUCACACUGGAACUGAGACACGGUCCAGACUCCUACGGGAGGCAGCAGUGGGGAAUAUUGGACAAUGGGCGAAAGCCUGAUCCAGCCAUGCCGCGUGUGUGAAGAAGGUCUUCGGAUUGUAAAGCACUUUAAGUUGGGAGGAAGGGUACUUACCUAAUACGUGAGUAUUUUGACGUUACCGACAGAAUAAGCACCGGCUAACUCUGUGCCAGCAGCCGCGGUAAUACAGAGGGUGCAAGCGUUAAUCGGAAUUACUGGGCGUAAAGCGCGCGUAGGUGGUUCGUUAAGUUGGAUGUGAAAUCCCCGGGCUCAACCUGGGAACUGCAUCCAAAACUGGCGAGCUAGAGUAUGGUAGAGGGUGGUGGAAUUUCCUGUGUAGCGGUGAAAUGCGUAAAUAUAGGAAGGAACACCAGUGGCGAAAGCGACCACCUGGACUGAUACUGACACUGAGGUGCGAAAGCGUGGGGAGCAACAGGAUUAGAUACCCUGGUAGUCCACGCCGUAAACGAUGUCAACUAACCC